CCGCGCUGGACCGUGUACAAGUCUCCUGGAAGGGAGCGUCAUAGAGGGUGAGAAUCCCGUCUCUGACACGGACGACCAGUGCUGUGUGAUGCGCUCUCGACGAGUCGAGUUGUUUGGGAAUGCAGCUCUAAUUGGGUGGUAAAUUCCAUCUAAAGCUAAAUACAGGCGAGAGACCGAUAGCGAACAAGUACCGUGAGGGAAAGAUGAAAAGAACUUUGGAAAGAGAGUUAAACAGUACGUGAAAUUGCUGAAAGGGAAACGCUUGAUGUCAGUCGCGUCUGCUGGGGAUCAACCUUGCGUUUGCUGGGUGUACUUCCUGGUCGACGGGUCAGCAUCAGUUUUCGUCGUCAUACAAGGGCGAACGGAACGUGGCACUCUUCGGGGUGUGUUAUAGCCUUUCGUCGUAUGUGACGGGUGGGGACUGAGGAACUCAGCACGGGCGACCUGUGCUUAGGAUGCUGGCAUAAUGGCCUUAAGCGACCCGUCUUGAAACACGGACCAAGGAGUCUAACAUGCGUGCGAGUGUUUGGGUGGUAAACUCGAGCGCGAAAUGAAAGUGAAAGUUGAGACCUCUUCGAGGGCAUCGACGCCCGGACCUGAGUCUUUGACGACGGCUCUGCGGUAGAGCAUGCAUGUUGGGACCCGAAAGAUGGUGAACUAUGCCUGAAUAGGGCGAAGCCAGAGGAAACUCUUGGUGGGAGGCUCGUA
rnacentral:rRNA from 1 species